rnacentral:rRNA from 1 species
GACGAACGCUGGCGGCGGGCUUAACACAUGCAAGUCGAACGGAAAGGCCCUGCUUUUGUGGGGUGCUCGAGUGGCGAACGGGUGAGUAACACGUGAGUAACCUGCCCUUGACUUUGGGAUAACUUCAGGAAACUGGGGCUAAUACCGGAUAGGAGCUCCUGCUGCAUGGUGGGGGUUGGAAAGUUUCGGCGGUUGGGGAUGGACGCGCGGCUUAUCAGCUUGUUGGUGGGGUAGUGGCUUACCAAGGCUUUGACGGGUAGCCGGCCUGAGAGGGUGACCGGCCACAUUGGGACUGAGAUACGGCCCAGACUCCUACGGGAGGCAGCAGUGGGGAAUAUUGCACAAUGGGCGGAAGCCUGAUGCAGCAACGCCGCGUGCGGGAUGACGGCCUUCGGGUUGUAAACCGCUUUCGCCUGUGACGAAGCGUGAGUGACGGUAAUGGGUAAAGAAGCACCGGCUAACUACGUG